rnacentral:misc_RNA from 1 species
GCAAACUUGGUCAUUUAGAGGAAGUAAAAGUCGUAACAAGGUCUCCGUUGGUGAACCAGCGGAGGGAUCAUUACCGAGUUUACAACUCCCAAACCCCUGUGAACAUACCUACACUGUUGCUUCGGCGGUGCCCACAGCCCCUCGCGGGAGGUGGCCCGCCAGAGGACCCCAAACCCCUGAAUUAUGACUUGUAACUAUCUGAGUAAACCGAAAAAAAAAAAACAAUUAAAACUUUCAACAACGGAUCUCUUGGCUCUGGCAUCGAUGAAGAACGCAGC